ACAAAUAAAUCUUCUGCAGUUGUUUAGAGAAGUCACUCGGAUUACACAAACUCUACUAGAAAGGACUAACGUACAGAGUACCUGUCUUUUUACUUUUAUUAAAAAAAAAAAAAAAAAAAAACUAAAACAAUUAUUAAACUCUCUCAUGGCUAUUUCAUGAUAUUUCCAAGCUUUCCUUUUAAUUUUGUAAUUAAAAAAUAAUAAUUCAAAUAUUCUUGCUAGUAACUAGGCACAAUUUAGUAAUAGAAAGCUCAGAAACUGGUAGUUUCAUUUCAGCAAUCUUUCUAGAUAACUGGAUUCACUGUCUGCUUCACCUUUUAUGCUUGUACCUGAUGUCUGUCUUUUGACAGCUGAGUUUACAGAACCAUCCUUUUUCUGAAGUGUUUCAAGAGGAGAAUCGAAAACACCAGAAAAGGAGAAAAAUUACAAAAAAGUAGAUCAUUCUAUUUCUGUGUCUCUGUUUUGGAUCAACUUUCCCAGGAGGGCCUGGCAGGCCUGCUUCACCUUUGAUGCCUUUCUGUCCUACUGGUCCAGGAGGUCCUGGCUGACCAGGUAACAAAUGUGAACUUACCUGGAAAUCCAGGUAUUCCAUCCCGGCCUGGUGGUCCAGGUGAACCCUGAGGCCCUGGGAGACCAGGUGGUCCUGGAUAUCCUGCAGUUCCUUGGUCACCUGGAGGACCAGGAACAUCGAAGCCUGGAGGACCUGGAUCCCCCUUCUCUCCUGGAAUGCCCUGCAACCCUAGACAAUGUAGUUAAAACACAAUCCUUUAGCAAAAAGCUUUCGUUGUGAUGAAUGACAUGUUUGGAGGAAGAAUUAAAAAAAGAAUGAAUAGCAAAACUGUUCAGUGUCUUCUCCUUGCUGUCUAUGUAAUCAUCACUUACCAGGAGGAACCGAUG
rnacentral:lncRNA from 1 species